UAUAAAAUUAUCUUCAAAGACAAAGUGCCAGCGAACGGAGACGACAAGAAGAAGAGCACAGACCUUCUAUUCAAAUAUGACAAAACCAAGAAGGAGUGGCAGCUGGGGAAGACAAAGGUAUUUCAGAACUUGAUUUGGUCUCCCCCGUCUUCAUGUACGUACGUACAAUGACAUCUCCUCCUCCGAUAUAGGUUUUUAUGAAGGAGUCUCUAGAGCAGCAACUGGAGAAAGACAGAGACGAAAUCCGCCGCCAAGCCGCCAUGAUAAUCCGCGCUCACCUCCUCACCUUCUCGGCCAAGAAGUACUUGAAGCGAGCCCGUGCCGCUGUCAUCGCCCUGCAGAAGCACCUGAGGAGACACAUCUUGAGGAAGCGAUUUGUCAAACAGCGCAAGGCAGUGGUGGUGCUGCAGAAACACCGCCGGGGACAAGUGGCGAGGACCCGGGUCCGAAAGCUACGAGAGGAGAAGAAGAAGAGAGAGGAGGAGCAGAAGAAGAAAGAGGCGGAGGAGAAGAAGGAGCAGGGAGCAGAGGAGGAGGACGACGAAGAGUCAGCUGACAAGAAGGCAAAUGAUGAGACCAAGCAGAUGGAGGAGAUCCUGCUGCUGGAGCGUGAGAUCGAGC
rnacentral:lncRNA from 1 species